rnacentral:rRNA from 1 species
UUAGUGGGGGACAACAUUUCGAAAGGAAUGCUAAUACCGCAUACGUCCUACGGGAGAAAGCAGGGGAUCUUCGGACCUUGCGCUAAUAGAUGAGCCUAAGUCGGAUUAGCUAGUUGGUGGGGUAAAGGCCUACCAAGGCGACGAUCUGUAGCGGGUCUGAGAGGAUGAUCCGCCACACUGGGACUGAGACACGGCCCAGACUCCUACGGGAGGCAGCAGUGGGGAAUAUUGGACAAUGGGCGCAAGCCUGAUCCAGCCAUGCCGCGUGUGUGAAGAAGGCCUUAUGGUUGUAAAGCACUUUAAGCGAGGAGGAGGCUACUGAAGUUAAUACCUUCAGAUAGUGGACGUUACUCGCAGAAUAAGCACCGGCUAACUCUGUGCCAGCAGCCGCGGUAAUACAGAGGGUGCAAGCGUUAAUCGGAUUUACUGGGCGUAAAGCGCGCGUAGGCGGCUAAUUAAGUCAAAUGUGAAAUCCCCGAGCUUAACUUGGGAAUUGCAUUCGAUACUGGUUAGCUAGAGUGUGGGAGAGGAUGGUAGAAUUCCAGGUGUAGCGGUGAAAUGCGUAGAGAUCUGGAGGAAUGCCGAUGGCGAAGGCAGCCAUCUGGCCUAACACUGACGCUGAGGUGCGAAAGCAUGGGGAGCAAACAGGAUUAGAUACCCUGGUAGUCCAUGCCGUAAACGAUGUCUACUAGCCGUUGGGGCCUUUGAGGCUUUAGUGGCGCAGCUAACGCGAUAAGUAGACCGCCUGGGGAGUACGGUCGCAAGACUAAAACUCAAAUGAAUUGACGGGGGCCCGCACAAGCGGUGGAGCAUGUGGUUUAAUUCGAUGCAACGCGAAGAACCUUACCUGGCCUUGACAUAGUAAGAACUUUCCAGAGA